rnacentral:rRNA from 1 species
UACGUAGGUGGCAAGCGUUGUCCGGAAUUAUUGGGCGUAAAGGGCGCGUAGGCGGCAUCUUAAGUCAGAUGUGAAAUCCCGGGGCUUAACUCCGGGCGUGCAUUUGAAACUGGGAAGCUAGAGUGCAGGAGAGGAAAGCGGAAUUCCUAGUGUAGCGGUGGAAUGCGUAGAUAUUAGGAGGAACACCAGUGGCGAAGGCGGCUUUCUGGACUGUAACUGACGCUGAGGCGCGAAAGCGUGGGGAGCAAACAGG